UUACGACCAAAUCAUGUUGAAACGCCGGUUCCCGUACGAUCACCGAUGUUAAGCAACGUCGAGCUUGGUCAGUACCUAGAUGGGUGACUGGUUGGGAAAACCAGGUGCUGUAA